rnacentral:lncRNA from 1 species
AUCCACACGGCGACCCAUGGCCUCCACGGUCAGAUCUCAGGCUCCGGCCUCGCCUCCAGUUUUCCAGGCCCCACAUCCUCCGGCAACGGCCGCCGGCAUGGAGCGGUCGGACAAUCGGCCCCCGACGGAUUUCGCCAACGCCAUCUCGGAAGAGUCUCGGUGGGGAGCGACCGGCAUAUUGGCCGGACCUCCCAAGCGGCA